rnacentral:rRNA from 1 species
AACGAACGCUGGCGGCAUGCCUAACACAUGCCAGUCGAACGAGACCUUCGGGUCUAGUGGCGCACGGGUGCGUAACGCGUGGGAACCUGCCCUUAGGUUCGGAAUAACUCCCCGAAAGGGGUGCUAAUACCGGUUAAUGUCUUCGGACCAAAGAUUUAUCGCCUUUGGAUGGGCCCGCGUUGGAUUAGCUAGUUGGUAGGGUAAAAGCCUACCAAGGCGACGAUCCAUAGCUGGUCGGAGAGGAUGAUCAGCCACACUGGGACUGAGACACGGCCCAGACUCCUACGGGAGGGAGCAGUGGGGAAUAUUGGACAAUGGGCGAAAGCCUGAUCCAGCAAUGCCGCGUGAGUGAUGAAGGCCUUAGGGUUGUAAAGCUCUUUUACCCGGGAUGAUAAUGACAGUACCGGGAGAAUAAGCUCCGGCUAACUACGUG